AGGCAUAGCUGCUAUCUCGCUAUCUGCAAACGUAUUCAACAAGACAUAAUGUUCUUGAAAAUUCUACUAUUGGCACCCCCAACGCAGCCCACAUCAUCUUGGUACAGAGACGGUUUUCCCUUUUCCAAAACAGGCUGCACUUAUCAUCUGAGAACCUUCGGAGCUCUUUGAGAAAGGUUUCCUCUUUUAUUAACUUAAUGUUGCCAAUGUGUUCCCUCUGCCAAUGUGUACAAACCGAGUCUGUCUUUGAACAUCUUUUGUAUUUUGUUUGCCAGCUGCAAGUCACCAAGUUCGACCAACUCAACCCCACGACAAGUUAAACAAAGGAAAAAGUAUGCAAUCCUUCGCCCAUUUCUCAAAAAGUAAGCCCGCUCUUUCCAUUAUGUUUUCGUAUGGCCUAUUUAUCGUCGCAUUGUUGUAUAUUUUGCAUUAUUACUAAUUUAACAUUGCCAAUCUAUUUUCUCUAACAACGUGUAUAACACUUAACUUAUCUAACUUUGCCUACUUACAUUUUAACUUCAACCUUUAAACAUGUUAUGUAUUUUGAUUACUAGCUGCCAGCCGCGAUGUCAGACUCAAUUCCUGCGCAAUUUAGAUAAAGGAAAGCAAGUAUGCAGCCUAUUCACUAUCUUUGAAACAGGUAAUCCAGCUCUUUGCCUUAUAUUUUUCAGUAUGGCAUAUUGAUCAUCACUUUAUUGUAAAUUGUGAUUGUUUGCACAUAAGGGUGCAUGUUGGAUGUGUCUACUCAGCAUUAUGCGGCCUUAAAUACAGUUCCAAUCGAAAG
rnacentral:lncRNA from 1 species